GCAGCCUGCCCUGCCAGGACUGAGCAUCUCACGGCCCGACAGGGCAGGUCAUGAGCCUCACUGGCAGCUGGGGGUCAGCACUGCCCCAGCUGCGUGCCAAGGGAUUGCCGGAGAGGGUUAGACCUCCUUUCCCCAUCGUUUCUUCUAGAGAUGAGGAAGCAAACCUUCCCCAGCCACUGAGCAUUUGAAUGCGUGGGCACCACUGGACGAAGUGAAUAUUGUCACUGAGGAAGGCUUUGGACUGUGGGACCAGGUCCCAUUGAUUUAGAAUGAAAGCAUAAUACAGGCUUCAAGCCAUCUCUAAGUGUUUGGCAGCCCAUGCCUGACCGAGGAAAUAAGCACUCAGGUAAGAUGACCAACUCUCAUUAAAAUUUAGUGAAGGUCAUUAGUUUGCUCUUACUUAGUGAAUUUUCCCUGGGUGACAUAUUGCCCAACGGGGUAUGAUAGCAUAAAUAUGGAAUUUUAGUAUGUGUUUUUUGAAGAUGAGCAAAGCAGGCAGAUGGGCAACUGGGGCCUUAACAUCACUAUAGCUAUCUCUCUUGAUUAAACUGUUAGCACAUUAAUUAAAAUUACUCUAGGGAGCACGUGCAUGGGGUGGGAAAACUGGCAAUCAUGCCAGACCACAGGUGGAGGUGCUGAGUUCUGGGCAGAGCAGCUUUAGGUAGGUAAGCACUCAUCUGGUGGGUUCCUGCACCAUUGAGUCAGUGGCACCUCUCCCCACUCUGCCCUUGCCAGCAUUACCUUUUAUCUGCAGCAAGGCUUUGUGGGCUAGGCUGAGUAAUGAGAUAGGUAAUGUGAUGUCCCCACAUUUCUUUAACAUCUCUUCCCAUGGUCACUGACAAACCUUUUUGCUUUUUCUAUUGUUGAGGUUUCAUUAUGAUGAACAUAAACAGUUCCCCAUUUUAUACCCACCACUGAACCUCCCUGAGACAUUCUGCUUUUUAUCCUAAGUUUCUGCAGUCUUUCUAUCCCCUCUGCUGCUCACAUGACCACAUAUUCCAGCUUGGAUUGAAACAACCUCUGUGCUUUUUGCUCAGCUGAUGUUUCCUGCCCAAGGUCCUGGUUUCUGCUUGGUGCUUUGGCCACUUGUGGCACAUCAAAGACCCCUUCUGCUACCAAAAAUUCAAACUCCUGCCUCUGUGUGCUGCCACUGCACUUCCUUAGUUUUAUUCCGCUGCUUCUUCAUGAGUAAUCAAAACCCUUUCCUUAAAUGCUCAGUGUUUUUUUGUUUUUUCUCUGCAUCCUUCCUUAUUUCCCAUUCCUUUCAUCUUCCAAUGGGGUGCAAUCUGCCCUGUUUUUUUCUCCCCUUAGUUCAAACCCCAGUGAAUAUCUAGGCAGAGCUGUUCUCCUCUCUCCACAGUUAGAUGUGGCUUGCUUUCUUCUUCUUUUAUACUUCUUUCCCUCUCUUCACAGUCAGUUUAACCACAGACGUGAAACCUCCACCGUAUUCCAUUUAGGAGCAGAGACCGUAUUGCCUGAAACCACUGCAAACCUAUAAAGUUCUGUGUUUGUUUAGCAGGAACAAAGAUUAUUUUUGCAAGAAGGUGAUGAAACAGCAAAGUUAGAGUUCUUCCAGCAGCAGAAAAUGCACAAAGGCAGGCAAUGUUUAUAGGCAGAUAAAUAUCAAAUGUAAUGCACUGAUUAAUAUUCCAGCAGGAUGGACUUUUAUGAACUGGCAUGUCAUUCUGUAGGUUUUAUUUUUAACAGAUGGGAAAGAAAAACAACAUUUGGUCUAGAGCCUCUGUCUGUCUGAAUGAGGUUUUGCUCAUUUGGGGGGCUGCAGCUAUUCUAAACAUGGCAACCUGAUUUAAUUAGCUGACCAGGAUCCUGCUUCAUCAGGGUUUUUUUUUGUGUGUGGAUAAAUGCACUCUAGCAAAACUGACAGUACUCAGAGCUCCAGACUGCUCCCGCCAAGUUUCCAUCUGAAAUGUGCAAACAAAAUAGCUGAUGAAAUAAUAGACAUGCUCACGCUGGAAACCUUUCUCUUUCCUUUUUCAGGGAAAUUGAAUAUCUAUUGAUUUAUCAUUUCUACCAGAUGGGGAUCACAGCAGUAGUUCCUCUGUGUUUUCACAAGCAGUGUCUUUCACAGAGUUUGCUUUGGUUGACAAGUUAUUUUCCUUCUGAUUUGAGUCUGCCUCUAAUGUGUGCUUUUGGGGUAUUGAUUUCACCAGCAGACAAGCUCUGAUUAUGGCUGUUGCAAGGCUGCCAAGGCCCUGCGAUGUGCAGAAGUCUCUUUGAGUUUCUUCUUCCUGAAAGGCCUAGGCUUCUUAGGGCUAGGAUGAAAAGCAUGAGACCCAUUAAGCAAAGAAGCCAAUCCUGAUGCCUAGGAGGGGUUGCAAAGGCAGUUGGAAUAAAAAGUGAUGCCAAGUCCUUUGUGCAUCUUUGUAUGUGGCACAGGUGCCACAUUGACGCAAAAUGUUUGGAGACUGUCUCCCCGAGAAAGUCUGUUGUCUUAAAUGCAAGUUCCAAUUAUAGUACAAACCCAGCAUUAGGGGCUUUUUGUUUUCAAGUGUGUUGUGCUGAGCUAGGCUUAUCAUCAAGAAGACAAGGGAAUUAACCUUGGUUUAUUAAUUUUAUGUAGACAUUAAUAGUUGCAGCAUCAGCAUUUCCUUGAUUUAGCCACGCGGGUACCACACACAGUAUAGAACUGAAGGAAUGCCAUCUGGGAAUUGAGAGCUGCCCAGUUUUUCAGUCUGCCUUCCCAAGGUUAUAUGACAUCAGUCUCUGAUCAACUGCCCUUUCUGUUGGCUAGUUUCCACCUCAAAUGAAAGGGACAUAAGUCCUGGAAAAGUAAAUUCCCCACCGAAACCCUAGAGGGAACCAAUGAGAAAAACAGAAGAAGGUGUCAGGUCUCACUGAAUCUCCUUGUCAGCAACUGGCAGGACCUCGGGGUGUAUGUUGGCUUACCAACCUGCUUAUGAAUAUUUCCAGAUUGGCUACCACACAUAUUGCUCCUUCCUGGUGUUGUCAAAGACAAAUGAGAGCAGGCAGUAGGAGUUACUGCACGUAGGAGAAGACAUUUUAUGGGAUAUCUGACACAUCCAAGGGAAAAAAAAAAAAACACAACCAUUUUUGCUGCCCAGGAAACUGUUUGGAUACUUAGCUGGUCUGGCUUGUUUUGUUUUGUUUUUCCCUCAGAAAAAGUCUGAAUUGUACUGCUUCUUUAUUCCACCAUUCUUUCCCCCUGCAUAUUUCAACUAGCUCCCCUCUGCCAUGAAGUGUUCGUGACAGAGAAAGUAAGCCAGCUGACUGAUGGCUGAGGAAGAGGUUUUCUGCAGGUUAUGGGGCCAUGUGAAGGUGAUGACAGUUACAACAGCGCUGAACUGGCAUAGAAGAUCACAGCAGACCCUGGGCUAUGUAGUUGCUCAAUCUAGUAAUUUAAAUUGCCACCUUGCUUCCCACUGUUGCAGUUUUUCAGUGUUCUUGAAAAUUAUCAUUGCAUGUAUUUACAUAUAUUUACACAUAUACAUAGGUUUAUGCCUUGCUCCCUGAACAGGAAGGUUAUUGCUUGGUCUCAUGUUUUUGACAGCAAGUGCAUCUGGAAUCCACUUCCAGCUUCUGCACGUAGGUGAUUUCCUUCUAGUAGGACACCGUGUAAUCCACACCUGGUGCAAGGGCAGAGCUACUCCACAGCUCCAGAGUACAAAAUCCUCCCUGUCCAGAUCAGCUUCUCGGAGGCUGAGGGGCCAUGUGUGUUCUAGUACUCUUCUGUUCAACCGAAGUCCUCAUUUUCUGUCUUUUUAGAAACCUGAAAAUCCUUUACCUUAGGAUGAGAAGUCUGCUUUGGUCUCAAGCCGUCUCCCAGAGUUAGAGCAGAGCAAUACAGUAUAACUGAAGCUUCGUCUUUUGUGUGCAUAGCAAUGUGGAGUUUAAUUAAAAAUCUCACUUUCUGUUAUUUUUACUGCAGAUGACUGCUUCAGUGGGUGCCCAAGAAAACAGCAGGAUAAACUAACAAAAUGAAGGAGGGCUGUAUAGUGAAAGUGUUUGUUGUCUGGAGGACUCUGGCUUCGCUUGCUGAAGAAGGCUGAAAAUGCAUAAUGAAUGAGACAGGAUACUCCAGAAAGCCAUAAAAUGGUCUCAGAGGGCAUGUUUGAUACCUCUGUGGGGAGCUAGGUUCUGUAUCUUGCUCAGCCACAGGCUUGGUUCCUAUCCCUUGAACAGAAAAGUUUACCAUACCAUGCAUGCUUCUCAGCUUCUCAUUUUUUGUAUGUGCAAGGCACGGCAGAUGGGACUAUUUUUUUAGAGAGGUGUUACCUGCAGAUGAAGUGACCGCAGCUUUGCCUAUGGAAUGAGAUAUAAAAAAGCUCAGAGUUCUAUAAAAUGAACCAGGAUCUAAGCCUGGGUAUUAAAAAUUCAUAGAUGUUUUUCAUAGGUCUAUACUGAAAUUUCCUCCGUGUUGGUACUUUGUGUGCAACAUGAGGGCAGUAAUUCCUAAGUGUCUUAGCCAAACUGUAGAGGAAUCCUUAAUAUUUUGGAGGUACAAGAUGUUGCAGUGGAAAUAUUUGUGAGGAAAACACAAAUUUUAUGCUCGAGGAAGCAAGAUUUGGAAGGCAUGAGGUAAAUAAGGAUAAGUAAUGUGUAUUAUAGCAGCAUGCUAAAAAUAAACAGAAAUAUUUAGCCAUUCACUGAGGAAGACAAGGACGUUGUAUAAAAAUAUAGUCUACAAUCAUGUAAUUAAAGCCUGCAUUGUAAUUUGAAGAAGCUGAAGUAAAGGAGCUGUGUGGGUGGCUUUAGCUCUGUUGUCUUUGUCACUGAGUUUCUGCUUUAAUAGGUAGCUUUUCAGAUGUUGUUGGAUAUGUGACAGCGUGGUAAUAACUUCCACAACACAAGUUUAACAGUGCUCUGAAAGCAAAUAUCUUGCUUUGAAACAGGUACAUUUCACUGGACAAAAUCCUCUCUUUCAUCUCAGUGCUCCUCUAUUCUCUUCACUCCCUUCUUUGGAGAAAAGAAGGCUCCAGGGAGACCUCAUUGUGGCCUUCCAAUAUUUGAAGGGAGCCUACAAACAAGAGGGGGUAUGUCUGUUUACAAAGGUGGAUAGUCAUAGGACAAGGGGGUUUUAGAGUCUCAGUUUUAAACUGAGAUGGGGGAGGUUUAGCUUAGAUAUUAGGAGAAAGUUUUUCACUCAGAGGAUGGUGACGCACUGGAACAGGUUGUCCAAGGAGGUUGUGGAUGCCCCAUCCCUGAAGGCACUAAAGGCCAGGCUAGUGGUCUGGUAGACCCUGCACAUAGCAGGGGGUUGAAACUAGAUGAUCUUUGAGGUCCUUUUCAACCUAGGCCAUUCUAUGAUUCUCCUGUUGCCACCUCCAUGGGACACCACGCGAGGGCCAGCAGCCUUUGGUUGGCCACAGGUCCUUCUGACACCUGUGACCAGGCAUUGGAGGUUCCCUGCCUCAUCUCUGUAUCUCACAGCUCCUGGAGUGGGCUGUGACAUAAAUUCCUUGCAGGGAGUACGGUGUGAUGAGGAAGCUGUGCUGGCCACCCCACUCAGCCCCACUGCCAUACCGUCUGUGGCAACAAUGGUGUGCGGUUGCAGGAGGCAGUGAUGCUGAAUGCAGGAAACCUGACGACGGUAUAUUUUACAGCAUGGCAGCUGUAACGCAGGAUCGUAAGAAACGUUUGCAUUUUGAAAUGCUUUAUCUUCCAUUUAAGGGAUAGUGUUUCUGGCAGGGAAAGAAUAUAUAAGGGUAUUAAAUGGCUUUCUUUGCAGGCAAUUAAACAAGGAAGCCGAUCAAAGACAUUUAAAUAAUUGUAACAGAUGUUUAUUGCCUGAUGCAGUUUACUGCAUCCUAUUAUUUCUGUUACAUACAGGAGAGAAGAACACAUGGCAAACUGUACCGCAAAAGAAAUUCUUUACUGCCUUGUGAGGAACGUGGCUGCUUCUCUGCCUUCUUAAUUGUAUCAUGUUGAGAACAAGUCAGUAAUAAGUAGUGUUUGGAGGGCAGAGAAGUGGCUUACUGCCUGGAGGAGCAGCAGCAAGUGGUGUGCAAAGACAUGGGGUUGAUGGUAAACACCUUUGAGACAACAGACUGCUGUGGGAUUGCUUCAAGAGUGAUGCUCAGCUCACUCACAUUAGGAAUUUCAGUUCCUCCUGAAGUUAUGCAGUUAGUACUGAGAGGGACAUCCUGGCUCAGGACAAAAGUGUUGGUGGCACUGUAAUCCUCAGUGACAUCUGGGAAUGGCCUCAGGUGGGCAACUAGGCAUCAAUAAAAGGCAAGCAUGUGACAACUCCCCCAGAUACUCCUCAAACAUUUUUGUUGUAGGGCCAGAUGUGUUUUCUUUGUCGUUAAUAACAUAAUAACAUACUUUAGUACUGUGUGUUUAAUUCUAUGUAUUUAAAAACAGAUUUUUCUUGCCUUGAAUUUAAGUGUUCAGAAUAGCCUAUGUAGGACAGUAAGUACCCUAGAGGAACCCAUGAGCUUUUCAUCACCAAUUAAAAGAAAGGGAUGUUUGUUUCCCUAAACAAUAACAAAAAAUUCUAACAAUGAUACUCCUCCCAAUCCCAAAUCCCCAUACAAAAGCCUAUAAACAUUCAAAAUCUAGGCUAGUGUCCCUCCACUUGUUUUAUCCUUGGCUUUGACUAAAAUCUGAGGCUUUUUCAGCAAACAUCUCAUAUUUUCAAAUUCAGUAAUGACUUCAUACAUCCUACUAAUAGAAAAAAAGACUUAUUGCCAUCAUUUCAGAACACAACUGGAAUAUUCAAUAUUCCCCAUCUCCCUUCCUCCCUCUUGCUGAAAGAGGAAGACUUCAGGGAGACUCUUUCUCAGAAGGAAUAACAAUUAUUUGAUGUGUUAUUCUUCCUCUACAGAUCACACCUCUCAUCUGGGGCAGAUCUUUUCUCCUCCUUGUGUCCUGACAUCAUCAUAGGCAGCAAAGUCUGCAUUAAAGACAUGAACUAAUGACACAGGCACUGCACUCUAAGAGGUGGUUCCUUCAUGGGCAAUCCACAUUGAGGUGAUGCACAGCAGGGAAGGGAGCUGGCUCCAGCACCCAUCAGGAACUGCUGAAAGGUACUCUUGCUCCUGGGUUGUCAACACAAGAUUUAGUGUGAGUUCCUGAAAGUGUCUUAACAGGCAUAGAAAGCACUGAUUCCCUCAAGUCUGCAGAAACAUGAUGCACAGCAACCAUUAGCACUGGCUUACAUUGCAGAACAAAUUCUGUGGCAGGAUGAGCCAGGUGCUAUGAUAGCUAUGAAAUAGCUAUGAAAUAGCCAUGAUGCUAUUUCAUCUGAGUGAGAGAGGGAAUGAAUUUGGGUCCUGGGGAAGCAUAGAAAGUGGAUGUUAUGCAACUCCUGAAAGAAUCAAGAGCUGUGGCUGUAGCAACUGCCAAUAAAUAUACUCAAGUACUACUCUGCUGGGAAUAUCUACAUGAGGCAUGAAGUGUGCUUACACCAAAUUACCUGAGGACCGCAUGAUGUCAGUCACAAGGAAAACAAUGCUGUGGGUCUUGUAGAUGGUCCUCAGCCUUGCUAUGACAAGAAGGUGCUGAGUGUUUGAAUGGCUCCCAUCCACUGUGAUUGCAUGAAGACAGGUGGGUCUCUGGCCAUGCCUACUCUCAACCUGCAUGGCAUGUUGUCUGACACUGGUAAGGAGUAUCUAAAAUCUACAUGAGGCAAUCAACAUCAUUUUGUGGACAAUUUUACAUUUGAAAGCAUCUCUCUGGAGCUGUUUGUCUUCAAAACAGAGAGCCCAGGAGUGUUUAUUGCCUGUAGGCUUGGCCUGGGAGAAAAUGAAACCAGCUUGAUACUGGAGACUGGGAAAUGAUACCAUUGUAUCCUGUGAAGGCAAGAUGCAAGCUGGCAUCUCCCUGCUUCCUCUCAUCUGUAACUCCAGAAGAACUGUCUUGGACACUUUGGACUAAAAUGUUUCAAUGCUUUCAGCUCAGAGCAGCAUUUGGAGACCAAGUUUUUCUUCUGGUAAAACAUAAACUACAGCACAGAAAUAGAAGUAAAACAUUUGUUUGCUCAGCUCUAGUAACGUGGUGCCGAGGCAUGCCCGCAGGUAUGCUUGUACUGUAAUUGCUGCAGCUGUUAUUCUGAAUUGAAUACUUUUCCUUGCUUGCUCCUCUUCCUCUUCAUGCACUGUAGUUUUAUAAAGCUCAAGUUGCUGAUGAUGUGCUGCACAGGAUGGUUUUGAUGUGUUGUCUGGGCAAGACUAUCUUUGACAGCUACCUUUUACUCGCUGGGAGAAACAGGUCUAGGACGUGAUUCCUGCUCCUUCUUGCUACUCUCUAAGUGUUGUUGCAGGUGAAAAGGAAACAUGCCUCGUACAUAAAGUCACUAAUUUAUUAGUAGCAUAAUAGAAAUAUCAAGUCUAAUCCAAGAAUUAUUAUUGAUGCAGAUCUGGUUAUAGAAAGAGGAGGAAUACUAUGAAGAAAAGUCUCGGUAAUAACAUGGUUCAGGUUGUUACGUGUUUAACAUCCUAGUUUCUACACCUUUUUUUUGUGCAAUGCUUACACUUCCAGUGGGCCCAUGUAACAUCAAAAUUUACUGUUAAUAUUGCCUUUUGUUUGUGCUAGCUACUAUGUCUCUAUUCUCUUCAUUAUAAAACUGGUUUUGUCCAGCUCCAGCCUUGCAUUUCUUUAAAUGAACACUGGUGGGUUUUUUAUAACCAUGGGAUCACCAAUGCCAGCCUGUGCUGCUUCUGUUACCAUCCUAGGUCUGUGCUGCUCCUCACCAUGUCCUGUGGCUCUGCCUCACAAGGUUCUCUAUAAUGUAUCAUUAUGUUAGAUUAAUAAAUAUCCCAUUCUUUAUAUAAUCACUGCUUGUUACUGCGGUCUAUAUAAAGUCAU